rnacentral:lncRNA from 1 species
CAACACAGAAAAAAUUAGGUCACAGGGGAAAAGGCAGACUGAAAACACAAUGAAAACUAGGACAAAAUCAAACAUAAUCCUAACACAUGAGGGUCUUGAUCUGCGAAAGGCGAGAUGGGCAUAGCUCUCGGGUGGGAGAUGUUGAAAAACGAGCGCUGGGCAGAAAGGUGUCCUUGGGAGACCCUGUAGUGUUUUAUGAGGAAACUGUCUGGCUGCACCUGUGGGCAGGAGCUGAUGGGAUUAAUGUAUACACAUGGAAGCAAAAUGUCACAUACUUACUGCAGGCUUUCCCGUGACUUACAGGAGUACUGCCAUCAGGUAAGGUCUCAUGCAUCUUUGGUUACAUACGAUGUUUGUGAUGGCUAAUUAGGAAU